rnacentral:rRNA from 1 species
UUACCUACGGGGGGCAGCAGUGGGGAAUAUUGCACAAUGGGGGAAACCCUGAUGCAGCAACGCCGCGUGAGUGAAGAAGUAUUUCGGUAUGCAAAGCUCUAUCAGCAGGGAAGAGAAUGACGGUACCUGACUAAGAAGCCCCGGCUAACUACGUGCCAGCAGCCGCGGUAAUACGUAGGUGGCGAGCGUUAUCCGGAAUGAUUGGGCGUAAAGGGUGCGCAGGCGGUCCUGCAAGUCUGGAGUUAAACGCAUGAGCUCAACUCAUGCAUGGCUUUGGAAACUGGAGGACUGGAGAGCAGGAGAGG